GGGCGCAAGCCUGAUCCAGCCAUGCCGCGUGUGUGAAGAAGGCCUUUUGGUUGUAAAGCACUUUAAGCGAGGAGGAGGCUACCGAGAUUAAUACUCUUGGAUAGUGGACGUUACUCGCAGAAUAAGCACCGGCUAACUCUGUGCCAGCAGCCGCGGUAAUACAGAGGGUGCGAGCGUUAAUCGGAUUUACUGGGCGUAAAGCGUGCGUAGGCGGCUUUUUAAGUCGGAUGUGAAAUCCCUGAGCUUAACUUAGGAAUUGCAUUCGAUACUGGGAAGCUAGAGUAUGGGAGAGGAUGGUAGAAUUCCAGGUGUAGCGGUGAAAUGCGUAGAGAUCUGGAGGAAUACCGAUGGCGAAGGCAGCCAUCUGGCCUAAUACUGACGCUGAGGUACGAAAGCAUGGGGAGCAAACAGGAUUAGAUACCCUGGUAGUCCAUGCCGUAAACGAUGUCUACUAGCCGUUGGGGCCUUUGAGGCUUUAGUGGCGCAGCUAACGCGAUAAGUAGACCGCCUGGGGAGUAC
rnacentral:rRNA from 1 species